ACCUGAGGUACACGCACCAAUUGAAAUAAGAGGUGAUAAUGUUAUCAUAUAUCUAUACUCGAUUUAUUAUUAACUUAACGACCAACCUGGACGGUAAAAAUUUACUUCACUUGGGUAACAGGAGUUGGACAUCGAAAGCUUGUUCAAUCAUUUUAAAAUAUUUAUCUUUGUUGUUCCGCUUAGCUAACCAUCCUUAAGUGUUUUUAUAGAAUCUAUAAAAACAAAGUGCUUUGCUUCUUUCCUUGCUUGGUUCAAGGUUCUAGGACGAUGUAUUGAGAGUCCAGUUUCUUUUUUUUUAGAUUUUGUAGUAGCAGAGAUGUGUAUAAUAUGGAUAGCUGAAUUGGUGUUUAGGCGUUUCAUUGCAGGACUGCUACUUGCUCGAUUAGUUAGAUGAACUGGUGCUUAG
rnacentral:lncRNA from 1 species